rnacentral:rRNA from 1 species
CAGUCGCCACGGUAAUACGUAGGUGGCAAGCGUUGCCCGGAAUUAUUGGGCGUAAAGGGCUCGCAGGCGGUUUCUUAAGUCUGAUGUGAAAGCCCCCGGCUCAACCGGGGAGGGUCAUUGGAAACUGGGAAACUUGAGUGCAGAAGAGGAGAGUGGAAUUCCACGUGUAGCGGUGAAAUGCGUAGAGAUGUGGAGGAACACCAGUGGCGAAGGCGACUCUCUGGUCUGUAACUGACGCUGAGGAGCGAAAGCGUGGGGAGCGAACAGGAUUAGAUACCCGCGUAGUCCCUGUCUCUUAUAC